UACGUAGGUGGCAAGCGUUGUCCGGAUUUACUGGGCGUAAAGGGUUCGUAGGCGGUCUGUUGCGUCAGGAGUGAAAACUCGGGGCUUAACCCCGAGCCUGCUUCUGAUACGGGCAGACUAGAGGUAUGCAGGGGAGAACGGAAUUCCUGGUGUAGCGGUGAAAUGCGCAGAUAUCAGGAGGAACACCGGUGGCGAAGGCGGUUCUCUGGGCAUUACCUGACGCUGAGGAGCGAAAGUGUGGGGAGCGAACAGG
rnacentral:rRNA from 1 species